CGGGCUCAUCCCAAGGCAACGAUGCNGUAGCAGACCUGAGAGGGGUGAUCGGCCACACUAGGAAUGAGACACGACCCAGACUCCUACGGGAGGCAGCAGUAAGGAAUCUUCAGCAAUGGACGAAUAGUCUGACAGAGCAACGACGCGUGAGUGAUGAACGGUUUUCGGAUCGUAAAACUCUGUUGUCAGGGAAGAAUCAAGUGCCGGAGUAACUGCCGGCACCUUGACGGUACCUGACCAGAAAGCCACGGCUAACUACGUGCCAGCAGCCGCGGUAAUACGUAGGUGGCAAGCGUCGUCCGGAAUUAUUGGGCGUAAAGCGCGCGCAGGCGGUCUCUUAAGUCUGAUGUGAAAGCCCACGGCUCAACCGUGGAGGGUCAUUGGAAACUGGGGGACUUGAGUGCAGAAGAGGAAAGUGGAAUUCCACGUGUAGCGGUGAAAUGCGUAGAGAUGUGGAGGAACACCAGUGGCGAAGGCGACUUUCUGGUCUGUAACUGACGCUGAGGCGCGAAAGCGUGGGGAGCAAACAGGAUUAGAUACCCUGGUAGUCCACGCCGUAAACGAUGAGUGCUAAGUGUUAGAGGGUUUCCGCCCUUUAGUGCUGCAGCAAACGCAUUAAGCACUCCGCCUGGGGAGUACAGCCGCAAGGCUGAAACUCAAAGGAAUUGACGGGGGCCCGCACAAGCGGUGGGAGCAUGUAGCUUUAAUUCGAAGCAACGCGUAAGAACAUUACCACGGUCUUGACAUCUUCCUGACAGACCCUAGAGAUACGGCGGUCCCCUUCGUGGGAACAGGAUGACAGGUGGUGCAUGGGUUGUCGUCAGCUCGUGUCGUGAGAUGCUUGGGUUAAGUCCCGCAACGAGCGCAACCCUUGAUCUUAGUUGCAAGCAUUCAGUUGGGCACCUCUAAAGGUGACUGCCAGGUGACAAACCGGA
rnacentral:rRNA from 1 species